GGCUCAGAUUGAACGCUGGCGGCAUGCUUUACACAUGCAAGUCGAACGGUAACAGGCCUUCGGGCGCUGACGAGUGGCGAACGGGUGAGUAACGCAUCGGAACGUGCCCAGUCGUGGGGGAUAACGCAGCGAAAGCUGUGCUAAUACCGCAUACGAUCUACGGAUGAAAGCGGGGGACUCGCAAGAGCCUCGCGCGAUUGGAGCGGCCGAUGUCAGAUUAGGUAGUUGGUGGGGUAAAGGCUCACCAAGCCGACGAUCUGUAGCUGGUCUGAGAGGACGACCAGCCACACUGGAACUGAGACACGGUCCAGACUCCUACGGGAGGCAGCAGUGGGGAAUUUUGGACAAUGGGCGCAAGCCUGAUCCAGCAAUGCCGCGUGCAGGAAGAAGGCCUUCGGGUUGUAAACUGCUUUUGUACGGAACGAAACGGUCCUGGCUAAUACCUGGGGCUAAUGACGGUACCGUAAGAAUAAGCACCGGCUAACUACGUG
rnacentral:rRNA from 1 species